rnacentral:rRNA from 1 species
AACAGGAUUAGAUACCCUGGUAGUCCACGCCGUAAACGAUGUCGACUUGGAGGUUGUGCCCUUGAGGCGUGGCUUCCGGAGCUAACGCGUUAAGUCGACCGCCUGGGGAGUACGGCCGCAGGGUUAAAACUCAAAUGAAUUGACGGGGGCCCGCACAAGCGGUGGAGCAUGUGGUUUAAUUCGAUGCGACGCGAAGAACCUUACCUGGUCUUGACAUCCACGGAAGUUUUCAGAGAGGAGAAUGUGCCUUCGGGAACCGUGAGACAGGUGCUGCAUGGCUGUCGUCAGCUCGUGUUGUGAAAUGUUGGGUUAAGUCCCGCAACGAGCGCAACCCUUAUCCUUUGUUGCCAGCGGUCCGGCCGGGAACUCAAAGGAGACUGCCAGUGAUAAACUGGAGGAAGGUGGGGAUGACGUCAAGUCAUCAUGGCCCUUACGACCAGGGCUACACACGUGCUACAAUGGCGCAUACAAAGAGAAGCGACCUCGCGAGAGCAAGCGGACCUCAUAGAGUGCGUCGUAGUCCGGAUUGGAGUCUGCAACUCGACUCCAUGAAGUCGGAAUCGCUAGUAAUCGUGGAUCAGAAUGCCACGGUGAAUACGUUCCCGGGCCUUGUACACACCGCCCGUCACACCAUGGGAGUGGGUUGCAAAAGAAGUAGGUAGCUUAACCUUCGGGAGGGCGCUUACCACUUUGUGAUUCAUGACUGGGGUGAAGUCGUAACAAGGUAACC